CCUUCGGGAGGCAGCAGUAGGGAAUCUUCCACAAUGGGCGAAAGCCUGAUGGAGCAACGCCGCGUGGGUGAAGAAGGUCUUCGGAUCGUAAAACCCUGUUGUUAGAGAAGAAAGUGCGUGAGAGUAACUGUUCACGUGUCGACGGUAUCAAACCAGAAAGCCACGGCUAACUACGGGCCAGCAGCCGCGGUAAUACGUAGGUGGCAAGCGUUAUCCGGCUUUAUGUGGCGUCAAGGGAACGCAGGCGGUCUUUUAAGUCUGAUGUUACAGCCUUCGGCUUAACCGGAGUAGUGCAUUGGAAACUGGUAGACUUGUGUGCAGAAGCGGCGACUGGAACUCCAUGUGUAGCGGUGAAAUGCGUAGAUAUAUGGAAGAACACCAGUGGCGACAGCGGCUCUCUGGUCUGUACCUGACGCUGAGGUUCGAACGCGUGGGUAGCAAACAGGAUUAGAUACCCCGGUAGUC
rnacentral:rRNA from 1 species